GACGUAGGGCGCGAGCGUUGUCCGGAUUUAUUGGGCGUAAAGAGCGUGUAGGCGGCUAGGUAGGUCCGUUGUGAAAACUCGAGGCUCAACCUCGAGACGCCGAUGGAAACCAUCUGGCUAGAGUCCGGAAGAGGAGAGUGGAAUUCCUGGUGUAGCGGUGAAAUGCGCAGAUAUCAGGAGGAACACCGGUGGCGAAGGCGGGUCUCUGGGCAGUAACUGACGCUGAGGAGCGAAAGCGUGGGGAGCGAACAGG
rnacentral:rRNA from 1 species